UGUCGUGAUGAACAAGAGAUCACAUCUCUAUAAUCCCAGCUCAUUGAGCGCCUCGAUCUAUGAACGCAGAGGUGCUAUGAGAACACGUCCCACCUGAUUAU
rnacentral:snoRNA from 1 species